UACGGAGGGUGCAAGCGUUAUCCGGAUUCACUGGGCGUAAAGGGUGCGUAGGCGGUCGGGCAAGUCUGAUGUGAAAUCUCACAGCUUAACUGUGAAACUGCAUUGGAUACUAUCCGGCUAGAGGAAUGGAGGGGAGACUGGAAUACUUGGUGUAGCAGUGAAAUGCGUAGAUAUCAAGUGGAACACCAGUGGCGAAGGCGAGUCUCUGGACAUUUCCUGACGCUGGGGCACGAAAGCCAGGGGAGCAAACGGG
rnacentral:rRNA from 1 species